GCCAAGUAGCUCAGUUGGUAGAGUGGGUGCUCAUAUAUAGAAUUUUACUCCUCGACGCAACAGGCCCGGGUUCGACUCCCACCUGCA
rnacentral:tRNA from 1 species